UACGAACCGAGCGAACGUUAUUCGGAAUCACUGGGCUUAAAGGGUGCGUAGGCGGGCCCGUCAGUCAGGGGUGAAAUCCCACGGCCCAACCGUGGAAGUGCCUCUGAUACUGCGGGCCUGGAGGGGGAUAGGGGCGUGCGGAACUUCCGGUGGAGCGGUGAAAUGCGUAGAUAUCGGAAGGAACACCGGUGGCGAAAGCGGCGCGCUGGAUCCCUACUGACGCUGAGGCACGAAAGCCAGGGGAGCGAACGGG
rnacentral:rRNA from 1 species